GUCUAGAUGACGAGUCCUAAAUAGGACGAAAUUUCUAGAU
rnacentral:hammerhead_ribozyme from 1 species